CUUCUGUCUUAUCCUAAAGGAUGCUUUAGCCUAAAGGAUUUCACUUCCGAACACAAAAGCUUGACUGAUAAAGACCAAGUCCAAGCACAGCAGUGAAAAUAUGAUUUACCCACCUCCUUCCUCUGGAAACACCACCCCCAGCUAAAACUGUCUGCUAACCAUUUGCAGGAAAAAUUAUACUCCUAGAAACCAAUAGAAACAGGACAUACAAACACACUUGUGGAGGUACUGCAGUUGUUGGAA